rnacentral:rRNA from 1 species
CUGGCUCAGGAUGAACGCUAGCUACAGGCUUAACACAUGCAAGCGAGGGGCAGCAUUGGGAUAGCUUGCUAUUCAGAUGGCGACCGGCGCACGGGUGAGUAACGCGUAUCCAACCUUCCUGCCAGUAGGGAACAGCCCGGCGAAAGUCGGAUUAAUGCCCUAUGUUCUUCAAUGCGGACAUCUAAGUUGAAGGAAAGAUUCAUCGCUGGCAGAUGGGGAUGCGUCCGAUUAGCUUGCCGGCGGGGUAACGGCCCACCGGGGCGACGAUCGGUAGGGGUUCUGAGAGGAAGGUCCCCCACACUGGUACUGAGACACGGACCAGACUCCUACGGGAGGCAGCAGUGAGGAAUAUUGGUCAAUGGGCGUAAGCCUGAACCAGCCAAGUAGCGUGCAAGGAUGACGGCCCUACGGGUUGUAAACUGCUUUUAUGCGGGGAUAAAGUGCGGCACGUGUGCCGCUUUGCAGGUACCGCAUGAAUAAGGACCGGCUAAUUCCGUGCCAGCAGCCGC